rnacentral:misc_RNA from 1 species
UUUCCGUAGGUGAACCUGCGGAAGGAUCAUUAUUGUAUAACCGAGGUGCGAGGGCUGUCGCUGACCCGAAAGGUCGUGCACGCCCGAGUGCCCUCACACACAUCCAUCUCACCCCUAUGUGCACCACCGCGUGGGUCCUCUCUUGGCUCGUUCGGAGGGGGGCUUACGUUUUCACACAAACUUUGUAUGCAGUGUAGAAUGUAUUUUUUGUUUUUGCGAUCACGCAAUCAAUACAACUUUCAACAACGGAUCUCUUGGCUCUC